UUCCCCGGCCAGCCGGUCUUCCGCCGAGCCGCGGGGGAGGAGGAGGAGAAGGAGGGGGCUCCCUUCCCCACCUCUAACCGUGUGCGCCUUCCCUUCCCAGGUAGGGAAACUUGGGCUGGCAGGCGGCCCCGGUGCCGGUACCGGAGGAGGAUUGGAGCCUCCGGAAGCAAAGUUCUGUGACACUCCGACUCUGGGUACGAUAGCAGUCAGUGCACUACAGAACUUUGUCUCCGGCGGCGGCGGCGGCCCCGGGAGCCUCAGGUGGACACGUCACUGCGGGCUGCCCCGCCGGGACGGCGAGCCCGGGCCCCGCCGGGCACCGAAACCUGCGCUGCAGCCUCGGAAUAAAGUCUUUGCUGUCGUGGCCUCCCGCUUUGAAGUUUCGUUGGGUUGUUGGUUUUUUGGGUUUUGGUUUUGGUUUGGUUUUUUUUUUUUUCUUUCUUCUUUUCCAGGGUAAAAAUAGCGCGACAUCUGGGUACCCGAGGGUUAUUUCGGUGCAGUCAGGCCAGCCUGGCUGUCGGCAUAAAUGUGAAACUAACCGGUGCUCAGUGCAACUGAAUCGGUGGUGGGAACCCCAAACCCCCAACUUCUGUUGAGUGGUAGCUGUGGCUUAGAUUCAAGCCUCUGCAUCUUCAAAAAUGACAAGGUAUGUUGUAAGCCAGUACUGCAAGGCUUCAUCCUCACUGGUGCGGGAGGGAGGCUCUGGAAGGAUACGUGACACCUGUAUUUAUUAGUGCAGUUGCAAGGUUUUAUAAUGUAACCUUAUUUGACGCAUGCACCAUACUCAACAUGGACAAUGGCUUUGAGGGCUGAGAAGGGAAGGGCCGAACUCAACUUCUUGUUUCAGUUUAAGUUGGAGUCUGGCAACAGUACAAUAGCCGGCCCGGCUCUCUUCAGAAAUUUUGCAGAGUUUCAUGAUGUGUAAACUAAUCUGUCAGGUUCUUGUGAGGUGGACAUAAUCAGCUGAUCGGCUUUCAUCAUAAUGAGAGUAACAUGAAAACCAGGAACUGUUAAAGGUCAGGUGGAGUAAGGUAUGGCGAUUUAUUUAAAAUUUAAAAUUGGUAUGCGCUGUAGAGUUUGUUAGCAAGUAAGUCUUUCACAGCAGCUGCGUUGUAUGGCAGAUACACUGCUUUUAUGUGUAUACACAUAAAUAUGUGUGUGUGUGUAUACAUGUAUGUGUUAGAGGUCUCCUAUUCUGUUAGCUUUUUGUAGUUAAUGAUCCCCUUUGGACUCACUAGAAACCUAAAUCAACUUUUCCUUUCUGCCAAUCUGAAAGUGGAAGGUACAGCAAGAUUAUACAGUUCAUGGAAUUGGGCUGGAAACUGAAAUGCUAUUCUAAGUACAUGCUUUUUAGCUCAAACGGUUUAAUCAAAGGGUAGGUAAAGUGAGGAGCACUUACUGUAUGGCAGCCCAUGUGACCAGCUAGGGCUAUAUUUGGAUGCUGGAGGUUUAAGGAAUCCUUUUUGCUAACCAUUUUUGGCCAAUUGCCUGCUGCUUUAUGUUGUGCAGUGUGAUGUCUGCUAAAAAGGACUUGGAAGUCUGGUGUCUGCAACUGUUUAAUCAGUGGAGUUACAGGGAAACACCUUGUACUGUCAGGGCUAAAGUCCCACUGUAUUUAAUUUAGGGGUGGUUCCUGCCUAGCAGGAUAUGUAGUGCAAAUUGCAGUUUCCAAUUUUUGUACUAAAUAGCCUUUUGUGGAGUGGGAGGGGGUGGGGGGGGGGCAGUAGAUCUUAUAAAGGCUUCUUAGAUACUCAUAUUUGGUGGUUAAAACUCCAUAUAGAUUAUUACAGUUCUGGAAACCCACAGACUGGAGCAUAUGCUUACUCUUUCGGGGUGAGCAUAACAUGUUUAGAUCAUAGCUUAUGUCAGUAUAAAUUCAGCCCAGAAUAGGGGGGUGGGAUCCUGAAGUCUCUUGUGCUGGCCUGGAUGUGAUGGCAGAUAGCAAACCUGAGUCCAGCUGUGUUGGGAAUGAAGAGUUCCUCCACUUUCUCUCAAUGUGUUUCAGCUGGAGCCAAUUUUCAGCCUCCUUUAGUUCCCCGGUGGUCAAGCUGGCCAGCUGUGAAGGCAAGGUGAGUAACGCUUGGCAUCCUGGUAGCCCUCACUUUUCAUUGCCACAUGUCUGCAGCAUGUUGUACCUCCUGUCCUACAAGUAAUACUUGAAUAGUGACCUUUUGGUGACACGUCUGCUUUGAUACAGGAAAUCAUGUGGCCUUCAGGUGGGCCUAGAAAAGAGCUCAGUGCUUUCGAUUUUGUUCUUUAUUCGUGCACUGAUAUGUAUGUGAUCUGAUAGUUCCCUGGCAUUUGAACUUUCUCACUUUGUUGCAGUGUAAGUCUUCUGAAAGCAAGCUUGAGGUGUGUAGCGGUGCUUGGCGCCUUGAAUGGGAGUUGAAGAGUUUUGACUAACCUUUUAAGAGUAGUGCUUGAUUAAGAUGAUGCAGGAAUUGAAAACAGAAAAAGAACUGGUGAUGCUGUUUAAAAUAAAGUCCGAAUGCCAAGCUGUAUAACUGCAUUGAUACAGCUUAUUUUCCAGUGACUUCCUGGCAUCUUCUGCUUCUCUGUUAGGCAUUACAUCACUGGAGAUGUACUCUAAACUGCUUUAUUUUAUUGGUGCUUUUUGACACUUCAGAGUGUCUAUUCCAAUUACGGUCCUUUCCUCAUUGAAAGAGUGGCAAAUGAGCGUGCUGAGUAAAUUACAUGAAUUUCCAAAAUGGUACUGGUCUGUUAUUUGAAGGGGCAGAGGCAAAGGAAAUGAUACCCACCUAUUUAUUGUUCUGCAAGCUGGAGAACAGGAAAGGAGUUUGCUGUCAAGUACUUGAAGGUUGAGGCUGAAUGCAUCUGACUGUGGCCCAGACUCCCUGUGUGUAUUGAUCCAGCUGUACGUACAUGCCUGAACUCUGUACAUAGGUGCUGAAGUUUGACUUCAGAAUUUGAAAAGAGGCAUUUUAGAAGCAUAAAAGCUGUUACUGCAUGCGUGUUUGUCUUUUCCAGGUCAGGAUCUCCAUACACUCCUAAGAUUAAGUUAUGCCUUGCACUGCUGGGAGUGACAAUGAGGCAGUGUGCAUGUUAAAUGGCAGCCACUUCAGUUUGCUUUGUGAUGGGAGAAUAAUGAAGAGCACAGGGAAUAGAGAGUAAAGGCAAGCUGCACAGCCUGUAGCUGGUUAGUCUCAGGAUGCCACUGGACCUGAUAGAGUUGAGGAAUGUGCUUACUUUAGCUUCCAGAGAUGUGAUUUUGAGCUGGUGAAGUUUUAAGCAAAAAUCUAAUUCUUGUACCUGUAAUCUAAAAAUGCUGUCCAAAGACGAAAACGAGUUUUUCCUGUGUGUUUUCAUAGAACUAGCUUGUACUGUUUUACUAGAAACAGAAGGAGACUUGCUGACUUCUAGCAACUGUAUGAUAAACAAUUUAUAAAUAGACCAUAGAGUCCAAUGAAAUACAAAUAAAGUAUUGGAAGUCAUGAGCUGACUCCAAAAAACACUGGGAUAUUUAUAUUUAUCUGCUGCCUGGGCAGCUAUGUUCAAGAAACUUCUCAGAAUCCAUGUAGUCUGAAGUGCCCUGAAAGCCCAUCCAGAGCAGUGGGUUUUGGAGUCUGUUUUGUUGGGCUUUUGGUGGUAGCAAUGGUCUUCCCUGCUGUGCCAAGAUUUAGAGGAUAGAAAUAUUUUGCAGGAUACUGAAGUUACCAACACAAGGCCGUGUCUGCCUGUCAGCUGCAGAAUGGGAAGUAGAAUUGCAGCAGUUGAGGUAGGUCAAUGGCACAGCGUGGUGAAGGAUUUGCCUUGUAGUUGGAGCUGGAGGAAGUGAACCUCAUCCUGGUAGAAACAGGGCAUUGAGCUAAGUGAGUGGAAACUGGAACUGCUAAGCAAUCCCAAGUUUAUUUUCUAUUUUAUUCUGGGAGGGAAGAGGAAGUUACAAAAGCUUGGCAAAUGCCAUUGAAAUAAGGCUAGUUUCUUGCUUUGUGUAACAGACGGGCUAGGAACUCAGCCAUGUGUCAGUUGUGCUUACUGUGUUCUAGCAAUAAGCUUUGCUAUGACCAGGUUUUGGUUUUUAGAAUACUGGUGCUAAUGCUAUUGGAAAUAGCUCGGCGCAGUUGAACCUAUAUUUAAGAUAUUAGAGGUGUUACACUGAAACCUCAUCCUAAUUAACUGCAGAACAAGGGAACUGAAACUUGGCUUCGUACAGCCAACACAACAGCAAUUACUUGCUGAAUUAUAAGCUUUCUGAAAUGAGCGUACAAAGUCCUGAGCUCUAUGAAAAAAACAGCAUUAGACUAUUGAUGAAUGAUUGCCUCUUUGUUUUGAGUUCAGUUAGGCUGUGAGGCAAUACUGCCUUUUUGUGUAAUGGCAGUUUUUACCCUGUCUGAUGGUUCUCACUGCUUGAGUUUUGGAAACUACAUUCUUGCACCAACACUUGGUCUCUUGCAGAGCUCCUGUGAAUGUUUUUCAGCUGUAGUAAGAGGAUGCAUUGCUGCUUUUAAUACAAGUAAGUCUCAAUACUGAAUGUUGAUCUCCUUGUGCAGUAAAAUCCUUAAAUGUGUUUUGUAGUAACUUGCGGGAGCACUAGUUGUGGGAACAUCAUUAACGGUACAAGAGACUCAAAACUAUGAGCAACAGCGUAUUUAAGUUGCGUGAGUAGUCCUAUUUAGGCAAGCCAAAGGUGUUUAAUACUCUGCAUUUUUGGCAGCUGAGUGACUUCAGAGGUGUCUAAAUUCAUACAUAGGCAGUAAGCUCAGUCUCAGCGAGGGCUAUCGCUUUUGCCGUACUGAGCCCCAGCUCACAUUAGUAUGUCCCAAAAUUGUCACUGCCUAUAACAGUUCCCUCAGGUGCUGCUUCCUCGGAAGAGGCAGGGAAAGGAUGGUCUUAGUUUAGGGAAAUGUAUGUAGAGGCAGCAGUCAGCUCUCCUUCAGUUUCUUCGUUCAUGAACUGAAACAUAGGAGGCUCUGUCUGAACAUCAGGAAACACGUACUCCGAGAGUGACCCAAGUACUGGUUCAGGUUACCCAGGGAGGUUGUGGACUCUCCAUCCUUGGAGAUAUUAAAAAAAGCAUCUGGAUGGGCAACUGGCUCUAGGUGGCCCUGCUUGAGCAGGGGGGUUGGACCAGAUGACCUCUGGAGAUCCCUUCCAACCUCAAUGAUUCUGUGUGAUUCUUUUCCUAACUUUAUACCCAGAAAACGAUUUUACCUUUCCUGCUGUCUUCUCCCCAUCCCAGGUUCUUCCAUUGAUGCUUAUUGUUACAUGAAUAAUCCUUUCAUUUAUAAAGCAGAGGGGGAGAAGGGUUACAGAAGAUCAAUAUUACUCUGAAUAAAUGUAAUGUAAAGCACAGUGAUCAGCUUUGACUCGUGUUAAUUAGCUUGAGCUGAGGCUUGAGUGUAUAAAACAAAAGUUGAAUCCCAUUGGAAGAGGUAUGUUCUUGCUUUGACCUUCAUAAGUAGUAAAGUACAGGGUUAAAUCUGUGUUUAAUGCAGAGGAAUUCUCACUUUCCUGGGUGACUGGCAAUCUCUUACAAGUAGUGGGUUUUGCUCUUCAGUCAUGGCUGGGCCUGAAAGAGGAAGCAACUGAAGCUCAUAGAUUUCUUUUGCCUAAGACUUAACCAGUGCAUAGACUGUCAAAAUAUUCCUAGUGUGAUUGCAGUUCUUAGCCAAACCACACCAGUGCAGGUGAGACUUGCUCCUUGCCCUCUUGCCCCUUCUCCAGGGGAAAUCAGCUGUGCUGAGGUGGGGAGUCGUGGCAGGGCAUGGCAAAUCACACUUCCCUAUAGGAGGGAAGGACCUUACCAGGGCAGAAGUGUUGAUGAGGUGAGGAUUUGCCGUAGUUGAAGGUGAAAUGAGCUGUCGGUGUUUUCUUCUUGCCAAGUAGCAUCCGGCAGGCAUGAAGACUCCAAAUAAUGGUAAGGAAUAUCUGCUUGGCUGCGCUGACUCCUUUCCAAGGUCAGUCAUGUUUAGUCUUCCGGGAGGUGAGUUGCUAUAUUCCCCACGUAGCCAUUAAGGCAAGAAACUGAUAGUGUAGAGCAAGCCUUGGAGAAAAGGUGCAUUUCAUGCUAGUUGUUAAAGUUAAACUCUUACAGUCCUUGCCUUGAAGAGCAAACAUGCUGGAGAGUGUUUGCUUUGCUGCUGUGUAACAUACUGCACUCUUCUGCAGGUGUGGCUUGAGGGACCAGGAGGAAGAAGGAGACAUAGAUAGAGCUGGGGAGAGAAGCAGAAAGGGGGAGCAGAAAAGGCAGAGGGUGGUGGGUGGAAGAGGUCAUGCAAGUUGCCAGAAGAGCAAAAUUUAGGUUCUGCUGUGAACUUUGAUGUCCAUGUGAUCGCGAUUUGGUAAGCACUUUCUGAGAUGUUAAACUUAAACUGCCAGACUGUACAUUGACCAAACCAAUUCCAGAGCCUUAUGUAUAAUUACACUGUGUGAAAGGAGCCUGUGCCUCUUGAGACACUUUCAUAAGCACCUGAAACAUAAUGUUCAUAAAAUACUAUAGCUAUGCAAUGUGGCCUUUUAAUUUAUGCCGUGCAUUAAUUUGAAAAUAAAAGUGGACUUCAAGUUCUGGAUUAUUUGGGCUUUUAUCAUACCAUAUAAAUCCAUUAUUUCAAAUAUGGCUAACUAAGCUAAACCAAUGAGGACACACAGUACUCAAAUAGUUGUUGGCAAACAAACUAUAAUUAACUAUAUACUUCAGAGAUAGAGAGGAGAUGCUGCAGAGCACUGCCAAGAAAGGGGAGCUGUGCUUAACCCUUGCACAGUAAACAGUCAAUACCAAUAAAGUCCUAAAGAAGGAGGGAAGGCUCACAAGUCCUCCAAGGUGAAAAUUUCAGACAGCAGCAUCUUAAGUGACUCUUUGAGGAAAUAUAUGGAUGAUGGCAACUUUGAUUUCCAACCUGAUGUGUUCUCAGCCAGCCAAAUCUGAGCAGAACUGGAAAGCAGGGAAUAGCACAUGGAGACAAAGCUCGGUGGUCAAGGAGAGCUGCCCUCACCAUGGAUCACUCCUGAAAGAGAAGAGAAAGCUGGCUCAAGCCUGCAGGAGGCUACUUCUUUCAUAAAAGGCUUUUUCAAAAAUAUUUUAAAAUAACCUGUUCAACUUGGGCUCAGUUGUGGCUUUAUGUAUAGGCUGGUCUGUUGAAAUACUAAUUUUGUAGUUUCAUUAAGCACAAUGUUUUCGAUGUGGGUUUGAUUAAGCAUCAAGAAUAAAAAUACAAUGAAAAUUUAAUCCUGUCUUUAAAAGAUUUCAUUAUUCAAAUUGUGUGUUCUUGGCUUAAGGUUAAGCAUCCAGUUCUGGAUUACAUUGUUGUUCAAUAUGGUUCACUUGUCUGAACCAUAUUGUUUAAAUUUUGGUGUGAAAUUUAGUUGUAAUUGGGAUCAAGCAAACAAAUGGGAAGACAUAAAGGCAAACCUUACUGGGUGCAUGUAAAUGAAGCAAGGGCAUGGGCAAUGUAGCUCAGAGCCUAGGCUUGUAGCAUUUGUUGCUGAGAUACUCUUCAGCAUUAUAUGGACCACUUGCUGUGUACAGUCAGCUGCAGCAUGAAGGCUAGUGAAAGCAUGGAAAGCUUGUAUUGCAGACCCAUAUUGAUCUUGGUAUCGAUGCUUUGACAUGUUUUGCUUAAAUGUUAAAUCAGCAGCUUAUUUUUAGGGUAAUGUUAAAAUGCUAAGCUUUAUAUAACCACAUUAAGUUCACUUCUGAUGUGUGAAGGCAAACAUGCUGGUGUCAGUCACUGUUCUAGUGUGUAGGACAAUAAGCAGUAGGGGUAUUGCAAGCUAUGUAAAGCUUUCAACAAAAUGUCACUUAGUCACAUUCAAAGUUAUCAAAUGUGAAAAGAAACCUAAUCAAAUACUUUGGACUUCAGAUGGAUUUUGUAGUCUCCAGACUGAAAUUAUUUCCCUGCACUAAGAAUAAAAAGCAUUUGUGA